rnacentral:rRNA from 1 species
GAUGAACGCUGGCGGCGUGCCUAAUACAUGCAAGUCGAGCGAACAGACGAGGAGCUUGCUCCUCUGACGUUAGCGGCGGACGGGUGAGUAACACGUGGAUAACCUACCUAUAAGACUGGGAUAACUUCGGGAAACCGGAGCUAAUACCGGAUAAUAUCUUGAACCGCAUGGUUCAAUAGUGAAAGACGGUUUUGCUGUCACUUAUAGAUGGAUCCGCGCCGCAUUAGCUAGUUGGUAAGGUAACGGCUUACCAAGGCAACGAUGCGUAGCCGACCUGAGAGGGUGAUCGGCCACACUGGAACUGAAACACGGUCCAGACUCCUACGGGAGGCAGCAGUAGGGAAUCUUCCGCAAUGGGCGAAAGCCUGACGGAGCAACGCCGCGUGAGUGAUGAAGGUCUUCGGAUCGUAAAACUCUGUUAUUAGGGAAGAACAUAUGUGUAAGUAACUGUGCACGUCUUGACGGUACCUAAUCAGAAAGCCACGGCUAACUACGUG